rnacentral:rRNA from 1 species
CCUACGGGAGGCAGCAGUGGGGAAUAUUGGACAAUGGGGGGAACCCUGAUCCAGCCAUGCCGCGUGUGUGAAGAAGGCCCUCGGGUUGUAAAGCACUUUCAGUGAGGAAGAACGCCUGGUGGUUAAUACCCAUCAGGAAAGACAUCACUCACAGAAGAAGCACCGGCUAACUCCGUGCCAGCAGCCGCGGUAAUACGGAGGGUGCGAGCGUUAAUCGGAAUUACUGGGCGUAAAGCGCGCGUAGGUGGCUUGAUAAGCCGGUUGUGAAAGCCCCGGGCUCAACCUGGGAACGGCAUCCGGAACUGUCAAGCUAGAGUGCAGGAGAGGAAGGUAGAAUUCCCGGGGUAGCGGUGAAAUGCGUAGAGAUCGGGAGGAAUACCAGUGGCGAAGGCGGCCUUCUGGACUGACACUGACACUGAGGUGCGAAAGCGUGGGUAGCAAACAGGAUUAGAUACCCGAGUAUC